CCACGGGGUGCUCCCUUGAUUUGAUUCUCUACCCCUUCUUCUAGGGAUGGGGCUUCCUGAGAGCCGAUCUGAAGUGAUUUUUACUUCUCUUCUGGAAUUUAGCAGAUCUACCAGGCUCCACACUGAUACUGGGCAGUGUCUGCAGAGUUCUGUGAUUUGAUCCAUCUUCAGGUUUCUCAGCCAUGGAUACCAGCUUCUGCUCUGGUAGAAGUAAGCAAAGGAGUGAAACAGAUUCCGUGAGGGUCCUUGGUUUAUUUUUGCUAAGUGUGCUGGUUUUGUGUCAGUUAGUCUCCAGCCGGGAUGUGGCACUUUCAAGAGUGCAUCAACUGCAGUAGUAUAGAUAGGAUACAAGCUUGCCCUAGGGCCAGGCAUUGGGUGAGGUCAUAGAGCUCUCAAGACAUUAUGUCCUUGGUCUUCAACUACCAGGGUGGAUAGAGAAGAACUGUCAGGUAGGCACAGGGUUAAGGGUGUCUGAGAUCAGACUCUUUUUGGGUGGGGCUUGCUGCAGCAGCUGUGGUGUAUGGGGGUGUGGUUCUCAGGCCAAUGCAGUUCUGUUUCCAGAGGUAUUAUGGCUGCCUCUGCUGCAUCACAGAGGUCACCAAGGAAGUGGGAGAAAGCCAUCAGCCACAUGCUUCACCCAACUCUCACACAGCCUGCAGCCCGAAAGACUGGUCUUACUCCACCAUGCUCCCCCAAUGACACCAAGUUUAUUUCCAGGCAGCAGAUGAGCAAGGCUGAGAACGUGCCCCAGAGUACAAGUCUUACAACUAAGAAGAUACAUCGACUCACAGUUCCUUGGCUGUCCCAUGGAGCCAGCAGCAGCAAUCCCCCUCCUUCAAAGGAUAUAUGGAGUAUCUCAGCUUUCCUGAACCCCCAGAUGGGACCAUCUAGCUGCAGGAAAACAAGGUCAGGGCUCCCACAGAUUCUGCACUAUGGUUAAACGAGUCAUCAGAGGUCAAGCCACUUUCAAAGAAAUUAUGACUUUAACCCAGAUAAGCUUGGAAAUGGAUCCUUCCUCAGUCCAACCUCCAGAUGAGAAUGCAUCUCAAAAGGUACUGUGAAGUCCUGUUACUUGAGGAUUAUUUUUACUCUUAGCCUGUUGAUUCUAGCCUUGGAAGUUCAUGACCUGAGGGACUAGUCAAACCAUUCCCAGACACCUGGCCCAUGGAAACAUGAGAAUAAACAUUUUUUUAAAAUUGUUUUUGCUUUAAGC
rnacentral:lncRNA from 13 species